GAUGAACGCUGGCGGCGUGCCUAAUACAUGCAAGUCGAGCGAACAGAUGAGGAGCUUGCUCCUCUGACGUUAGCGGCGGACGGGUGAGUAACACGUGGAUAACCUACCUAUAAGACUGGGAUAACUUCGUGAAACCGGAGCUAAUACCGGAUAAUAUAUUGAACCGCAUGGUUCAAUAGUGAAAGACGGUUUUGCUGUCACUUAUAGAUGGAUCCGCGCCGCAUUAGCUAGUUGGUAAGGUAACGGCUUACCAAGGCAACGAUGCGUAGCCGACCUGAGAGGGUGAUCGGCCACACUGGAACUGAGACACGGUCCAGACUCCUACGGGAGGCAGCAGUUGGAAAUCUUCCGCAAUAGGCGUAAGCCUGACAGAGCAACGCCGCGUGAGUGAUGAGGGUCUUCGGAUCGUAAAACUCUGUUAUUAGAGAAGAACAAAUGUAUAAGUAACUAUGCACGUCUUGACGGUACCUAAUCAGAAAGCCACGGCUAACUACGUG
rnacentral:rRNA from 1 species